rnacentral:rRNA from 1 species
GCAGGUGCGAAAGCAGGUCAUAGUGAUCCGGUGGUUCUGAAUGGAAGGGCCAUCGCUCAACGGAUAAAAGGUACUCCGGGGAUAACAGGCUGAUACCGCCCAAGAGUUCAUAUCGACGGCGGUGUUUGGCACCUCGAUGUCGGCUCAUCACAUCCUGGGGCUGAAGUAGGUCCCAAGGGUAUGGCUGUUCGCCAUUUAAAGUGGUACGCGAGCUGGGUUUAGAACGUCGUGAGACAGUUCGGUCCCUAUCUGCCGUGGGCGCUGGAGAACUGAGGGGGGCUGCUCCUAGUACGAGAGGACCGGAGUGGACGCAUCACUGGUGUUCGGGUUGUCAUGCCAAUGGCACUGCCCGGUAGCUAAAUGCGGAAGAGAUAAGUGCUGAAAGCAUCUAAGCACGAAACUUGCCCCGAGAUGAGUUCUCCCUGACUCCUUGAGAGUCCUGAAGGA